rnacentral:rRNA from 1 species
UACGAAGGGGGCGAGCGUUGUUCGGAAUUACUGGGCGUAAAGGGCGCGCAGGCGGCUCUGAAAGUCAGAUGUGAAAGCCCCGGGCUUAACCUGGGAAUUGCAUUUGAUACUCUGGAGCUUGAGUACGGGAGAGGAGAGUGGAAUUCCCAGUGUAGAGGUGAAAUUCGUAGAUAUUGGGAAGAACACCGGUGGCGAAGGCGGCUCUCUGGACCGUAACUGACGCUGAGGCGCGGAAGCGUGGGGAGCAAACAGG